GUGGGGAAUUUUGGACAAUGGGCGCAAGCCUGAUCCAGCCAUUCUGCGUGAGUGAAGAAGGCCUUCGGGUUGUAAAGCUCUUUCGCAAGGGAAGAAAACUUACCUUUUAAUAGAGGGUGAGGCUGACGGUACCUUGAUAAGAAGCACCGGCUAACUACGUGCCAGCAGCCGCGGUAAUACGUAGGGUGCGAGCGUUAAUCGGAAUUACUGGGCGUAAAGCGUGCGCAGGCGGCUUUGUAAGUCAGAUGUGAAAGCCACGGGCUCAACCUGGGAACUGCGUUUGAAACUACAAGGCUAGAGUAUGGGAGAGGGGGGUAGAAUUCCACGUGUAGCAGUGAAAUGCGUAGAGAUGUGGAGGAAUACCAAUGGCGAAGGCAGCCCCCUGGCCUAAUACUGACGCUCAUGCACGAAAGCGUGGGGAGCAAACAGGAUUAGAUACCCUUGUAGUCC
rnacentral:rRNA from 1 species